CGACCGGCGCACGGGUGCGUAACGCGUAUGCAACCUACCUUUAACAGGGGGAUAACACUGAGAAAUUGGUACUAAUACCCCAUAAUAUCAUAGAAGGCAUCUUUUAUGGUUGAAAAUUCCGAUGGUUAGAGAUGGGCAUGCGUUGUAUUAGCUAGUUGGUGAGGUAACGGCUCACCAAGGCAACGAUACAUAGGGGGACUGAGAGGUUAACCCCCCACAUUGGUACUGAGACACGGACCAA
rnacentral:rRNA from 1 species